rnacentral:rRNA from 1 species
CGGACAGUGUCUGGUGGGUAGUUUGACUGGGGCGGUCUCCUCCUAAAGAGUAACGGAGGAGCACGAAGGUUGGCUAAUCCUGGUCGGACAUCAGGAGGUUAGUGCAAUGGCAUAAGCCAGCUUGACUGCGAGCGUGACGGCGCGAGCAGGUGCGAAAGCAGGUCAUAGUGAUCCGGUGGUUCUGAAUGGAAGGGCCAUCGCUCAACGGAUAAAAGGUACUCCGGGGAUAACAGGCUGAUACCGCCCAAGAGUUCAUAUCGACGGCGGUGUUUGGCACCUCGAUGUCGGCUCAUCACAUCCUGGGGCUGAAGUAGGUCCCAAGGGUAUGGCUGUUCGCCAUUUAAAGUGGUACGCGAGCUGGGUUUAGAACGUCGUGAGACAGUUCGGUCCCUA